GUUCACCCGAGCUGCACCAAGAAAAGCCCCAAAUGAAACUUCCAUCCAUACACCGGCAGGUCGCGAGAUGACACCGGGUACGCAGGCUUAUAUGAAGUGCAGUUUGCUUCAGUUUUUUAUGGGGUGAUCCACUUGGGACCACAGGGCAACCUGCGGCAUGAUGCAGCAGCAGCCCUUCUCCCAGCGCAAGCCUUCAUGGAGGGGACGCUGUCACCACAGACUUUCAUUUUGUACCCCUGAAAUGGAAGUGAAGUCUAGGAAGUAGCUGAAGAGGUGAUGAAGACUCAAUGAUGAUGUCAACUUUGCUGAAUUCUCUGAUCCCAGCACCAAGAAAAAUGGAAAAAUGUUUAAGGGACAGCCAUCAUAAAGGUAAUUAGCUUCUCCUGCUUACCUAAAAAGUCAUCGUUUGAUAGGCUGGCAUAUUUUUUUCAGAUAACAGGGUUAUAAAUGUAGUGCUUGAUCUAUAAUUGCUGGAGCUAUAUGUUUGCUUUUGUGACAGUAAAACCAAGAACCUGUUUUCUCAUGAAUGUUAGGAGUUUCAUCGGCUUAGAAUCCUAACGUGGUUAUUUCAGAUUUUAAAAUAUUUUUUCCUUUUUAACACUUUGCUUUGUAAAGAUCCUGAAUUCUUUCUUACAAUGUUAAUGAUUUCACACUUUUUAUCAUGUUAAGUGUGAAAGGUUAAGCAUCCAGACUGUAGAAAGAGCUAAAUUACUCUUGUACUAAUCACUGUCUGCUGGAGGAAAUUACUGUAUUAUGUAUUACUGUUGAGAUACUGGUGAAUCAAUAUUCAUGUAGAAGCCUGAACUCUUACAAUUUCUACAGUUUAUAACUGUUGUAUUUAAUUAGACUCUUUUCAAGGGUAAAAGAAAUGAUUAAUUGUAUUUUGUAUCUUAAAAAGUCUUUGUACACCUGGCUGGCAUGCUUUUCAUUCUCCAGAUUGUGAUGCUUAGAUAAAAUAUAUAUUCCUUAGAAUGACAGAAAUAACGCUGCCCUGUAAUUAGUACAGCACUAAUUAAUUAUCAAGUGUAUGUACUUGAACAGUUAAAUUUUUCAUUGUUGAAUUGUACCUCCAAGUUCAUCUAUGUUCUUUGAGUAGACAAAUUUUGCAAGAAAAGGCAUCUUUCCAUAACUAUUGCAAGUAAAGUAGGAAAUAUAAGUUAGAUAUUUGUCAGGUUUCACACCAAGGUCCCUGAGUACUUCUUGUUCUUGUGGAAUGAAAACAUCCCCUGCUAGUCUGGCUCUACAGCAUACAGUGUCCUUUGAUCCCAAAGGCCCAAGUCCAGAAAGCAAAAGAUAAAUAGAC
rnacentral:lncRNA from 1 species